UGCGAUGCUUGUAGACCCAAGUCUGGGAGGC
rnacentral:piRNA from 1 species